UACGUAGGUGGCAAGCGUUGUCCGGAAUUAUUGGGCGUAAAGCGCGCGCAGGCGGUCCUUUAAGUCUGAUGUGAAAGCCCACGGCUCAACCGUGGAGGGUCAUUGGAAACUGGGGGACUUGAGUACAGAAGAGAAGAGUGGAAUUCCACGUGUAGCGGUGAAAUGCGUAGAGAUGUGGAGGAACACCAGUGGCGAAGGCGACUCUUUGGUCUGUUCUUGACGCUGAGGCGCGAAAGCUAGGGUAGCAAACGGG
rnacentral:rRNA from 1 species